GUUUCUGUAGUGUAGUGGUUAUCACGUUUCCUGAACAUGUAAAUGGUCCCUGAUUCGAAACCAGGCGGAAACA